rnacentral:rRNA from 1 species
GAAUAAGGACCGGCUAACUCCGUGCCAGCAGCCGCGGUAAUACGGAGGGUGCAAGCGUUAUCCGGAUUCAUUGGGUUUAAAGGGUGCGUAGGCGGAAUAUUAAGUCAGUGGUGAAAUCCUGCAGCUCAACUGUAGAACUGCCAUUGAUACUGCUGUUCUUGAGUAUAGUUGAAGUGGGCGGAAUGUGUCAUGUAGCGGUGAAAUGCAUAGAUAUGACACAGAACACCAAUUGCGAAGGCAGCUCACUAAACUAUUACUGACGCUCAGGGACGAAAGCGUGGGUAGCGAACAGGAUUAGAUACCCUGGUAGUCCACGCCGUAAACGAUGAUUACUCGAUGCUGGCGAUAUACUGUCAGUGUCCAAGCGAAAGUGUUAAGUAAUCCACCUGGGGAGUACGAUCGCAAGAUUGAAACUCAAAUGAAUUGACG